rnacentral:rRNA from 1 species
CAGCCGCCGCGGUAAUACGUAGGUCCCGAGCGUUGUCCGGAUUUAUUGGGCGUAAAGCGAGCGCAGGCGGUUAGAUAAGUCUGAAGUUAAAGGCUGUGGCUUAACCAUAGUACGCUUUGGAAACUGUUUAACUUGAGUGCAAGAGGGGGGAGUGGAAUUCCAUGUGUAGCGGUGAAAUGCGCAGAUAUAUGGAGGAACACCGGUGGCGAAAGCGGCUCUCUGGCUUGUAACUGACGCUGAGGCUCGAAAGCGUGGGGAGCAAACAGGAUUAGAUACCCCCGUAGUCCCUGUCUCUUAUACA